rnacentral:rRNA from 1 species
CCUACGGGUGGCAGCAGUCAGGAAUAUUGGUCAAUGGACGAGAGUCUGAACCAGCCAAGUAGCGUGAAGGAUGACUGCCCUAUGGGUUGUAAACUUCUUUUAUAUGGGAAUAAAAUGUUCCACGUGUGGGAUUUUGUAUAUACCAUAUGAAUAAGGAUCGGCUAACUCCGUGCCAGCAGCCGCGGUAAUACGGAGGAUCCUAGCGUUAUCCGGAUUUAUUGGGUUUAAAGGGAGCGUAGGUGGAUUGUUAAGUCAGUUGUGAAAGUUUGCGGCUCAACCGUAAAAUUGCAGUUGAAACUGGCAGUCUUGAGUACAGUAGAGGUGGGCGGAAUUCGUGGUGUAGCGGUGAAAUGCUUAGAUAUCACGAAGAACUCCGAUUGCGAAGGCAGUUCACUGGACUGCAACUGACACUGAGGCUCGAAAGUGUGGGUAUCAAACAGGAUUAGAUACCCUUGUAGUC